rnacentral:rRNA from 1 species
CCUACGGGCGGCAGCAGUGGGGAAUAUUGGACAAUGGGGGGAACCCUGAUCCAGCCAUGCCGCGUGUGUGAAGAAGGCCCUCGGGUUGUAAAGCACUUUCAGUGAGGAAGAACGCCUGGUGGUUAAUACCCAUCAGGAAAGACAUCACUCACAGAAGAAGCACCGGCUAACUCCGUGCCAGUAGCCGCGGUAAUACGGAGGGUGCGAGCGUUAAUCGGAAUUACUGGGCGUAAAGCGCGCGUAGGUGGCUUGAUAAGCCGGUUGUGAAAGCCCCGGGCUCAACCUGGGAACGGCAUCCGGAACUGUCAAGCUAGAGUGCAGGAGAGGAAGGUAGAAUUCCCGGUGUAGCGGUGAAAUGCGUAGAGAUCGGGAGGAAUACCAGUGGCGAAGGCGGCCUUCUGGACUGACACUGACACUGAGGUGCGAAAGCGUGGGUAGCAAACAGGAUUAGAUACCCGGGUAGUC